rnacentral:rRNA from 1 species
GUCUACCACCGGGAUGUUCAUAACCCUUUGUUGUCCGACUCUGUUGCCUCCGGGGCGACCCUGCCUUCGGGCGGGGGCUCCGGGUGGACACUUCAAACUCUUGCGUAACUUUGCAGUCUGAGUAAACUUAAUUAAUAAAUUAAAACUUUUAACAACGGAUCUCUUGGUUCUGGCAUCGAUGAAGAACGCAGCGAAAUGCGAUAAGUAAUGUGAAUUGCAGAAUUCAGUGAAUCAUCGAAUCUUUGAACGCACAUUGCGCCCCCUGGUAUUCCGGGGGGCAUGCCUGUUCGAGCGUCAUUUCACCACUCAAGCCUCGCUUGGUAUUGGGCAACGCGGUCCGCCGCGUGCCUCAAAUCGACCGGCUGGGUCUUCUGUCCCCUAAGCGUUGUGGAAACUAUUCGCUAAAGGGUGCUCGGGAGGCUACGCCGUAAAACAAACCCAUUUCUAAGGUUGACCUCGGAUCAGGUAGGGAUACCCGCUGAACUUAAGCAUAUCA